UGAAAACAUUGACGAGAACAUUGCAAUUGAUGUGUACAAAGAUGAGAUAUUAGACCAUGUCAAGAAACUUUGGAUCAACUGGCGUGGAGACUUGCACCGCCAUUUUGUGAAACCCAGCAAUACUAUGCAGGAGGCUGUGAAAAACGUACCUAAAGACAUUCCAAAGGAUGAUUGGGAAUGGCUUGUCAAGGAGCAUUUCUUCAGCAAGGAGUUUUUGAAGAAGAGCAAGAGAAAUACCCAAAAUAGAGCUAACCUCAAAAUGCUUCAUCGAUCUGGCAGUAAACCCUUUAGACAAAUAAUUUGGGACAUGGGAGGCAAGGAAAACAAGCCACCGAGUAUGGAUAAACUUUUUUCGGAGACACACAAGAAGGGUACAUCCUUUGCUGAUUCUACAACAUCCACCA